GAAAAAUCCUUCAAAAAGAGCAUCACAUCCGAAAUUGAGGGGCUUGCGUGUAUUUUUCCUCCAAUUUCUUAAUUCAACAGCUUAACACUUGUGGUCAAUGGUCAUCCGCCUUUUACUCUUCUGCAAGUUUGCUAACAGUGAUCACCUUUCUCUUCUUUCGUGUAUUGCACAACUCCACUCUUACUUUCCCAUUUCUACUUUCCUUUUCAAAUCAAAUCUCCAUUUCCUCCGCCAAUGCCACUCCUCUCUGAAACCUAC
rnacentral:misc_RNA from 1 species